rnacentral:rRNA from 1 species
AUUGAACGCUGGCGGCAUGCUUUACACAUGCAAGUCGAGCGGCAGCGCGGGGGCAACCCUGGCUGCGAGCGGCGGACGGGUGAGUAAUGCAUCGGAACGUAUCCCGUAGUGGGGGACAACCCAGCGAAAGCUGGGCUAAUACCGCAUAUGCUCUACGGAGGAAAGUGGGGGACCGCAAGGCCUCACGCUAUGGGAGCGGCCGAUGUCCGAUUAGCUAAUUGGUGGGGUAAUGGCUUACCAAGGCGACGAUCGGUAGCUGGUCUGAGAGGAUGAUCAGCCACACUGGGACUGAGACACGGCCCAGACUCCUACGGGAGGCAGCAGUGGGGAAUUUUGGACAAUGGGGGCAACCCUGAUCCAGCCAUGCCGCGUGCGGGAAGAAGGCCUUCGGGUUGUAAACCGCUUUUGGUCGGGAAGAAAGGGCACGUCCGAAUAGGGCGUGUUGUUGACGGUACCGGCAGAAUAAGCACCGGCUAACUACGUGCCAGCCGCCGCAGUAAUAC